AUUGAACGCUGGCGGCAGGCUUAACACAUGCAAGUCGAACGGUGACCCUCGGAGCUUGCUUCGGGGUGAGCAGUGGCGAACGGGUGAGUAACACGUGAGUAACCUGCCCCUGACUCUGGAAUAAGCGCUGGAAACGGCGUCUAAUACCGGAUACGACACGCCUCCGCAUGGGGAGCGUGUGGAAAGUUUUUCGGUCUGGGAUGGACUCGCGGCCUAUCAGCUUGUUGGUGAGGUAAUGGCUCACCAAGGCGAUGACGGGUAGCCGGCCUGAGAGGGCGACCGGCCACACUGGGACUGAGACACGGCCCAGACUCCUACGGGAGGCAGCAGUGGGGAAUAUUGCACAAUGGGCGAAAGCCUGAUGCGGCGACGCCGCGUGAGGGAUGACGGCCUUCGGGUUGUAAACCUCUUUCAGCAGGGAAGAAGCGAGAGUGACGGUACCUGCAGAAGAAGCACCGGCUAACUACGUGCCAGCCGCCGCCGUAA
rnacentral:rRNA from 1 species